rnacentral:rRNA from 1 species
GAUCCUGGCUCGGGAUUAACGCUGGCGGCGUGCAUAACACAUUCAAGUCGAACGGAGAGAUACAGCCCUUGGGUAGUAUUGAUCAGUGGCGGACGGGUGAGUAACGCGUGAGUAACCUGCCUGUGAGAGGGGAAUAACAGCUGGAGACGGGUGCUAAUACCGCAUAAAGCAUAAUAAUCGCAUGAUUGAUAAUGCCAAAGAGUAGAUCGCUCACAGAUGGACUCG